GGAGAUGUGGCGCAAUGGUAGCGCACCAGAUUCCAGUCCUGGGGGUUGCCGGUUCAAUUCCGGUCAUCUUCA